GCCACAUUAGCUCAGCUGGUAGAGCAACUGAUUUGUAAUCAGUAGGUCGGGGGUUCGAGUCCCUUUUGUGGCACCA
rnacentral:tRNA from 1 species